UCGUACCGUCCGACACACCUCUGCAAUUAUCUUAAUCAGCAGUAUCCAGUAGAUUCUACUUCCGCCUCCAUCGCAACUCCUAAGUUAAGAUCAUUCUGCAAGUAAGAAUGGGAUACUCAAAUUUCUAAUUUUGGCCUUUCGUUUUCGUCUUACUGGGCGUUUUCACUUCCUCACCACCUCUCGCUCUGCAGAAGAAUUUGUUCGAGAAGGUAACUCUGCAAGUCAUCUCAGCAAAAGGGAAAAUUGGAAGCAAUGAGAGUAAAUUACUAAUUUACUAAAGUAUUGUGCUUGUUGCCAGCAAUGGAAAUGUGUUGAGGUUCAACUAUGCCUGAUACUUAUUUGAUCCACAAUCUUAUCUUCCUUGCUGGAAAUUAAGAUAAGUCAAAGAACUGGGGUGAUUGAGCAAAAAAUUGUUGUAGAAUAGGGGCAUUCCGAGAAUCGAACUCGGGACCUCUCGCACCCAAAGCGAGAAUCAUGCCACUAGACCAAAUGCCCUGCUGUUGACGAUGAUUGUGUUCCUUUAUUGAUGAAAGAGAGUGAUCUUCCCAGCUGGAAAUUAAGAAAGGUCAAAGAACUUGGGUGUUUGAGCAAAAAAUGUUGUAGAAUUUGGGGCAUUCCGAGAAUCGAACUCGGGACCUCUCGCACCCAAAGCGAGAAUCAUACCACUAGACCAAAUGCCCAGUUGUUGACGAUGAUUGUGUUCCUUUAUUGAUGAAUGAGAGUGGAAAAGUCAGGAUAUGCCUCCUCUUGCAAGAAGAGAAAACAAACAGGUGAUCAAAGUGUGGGUAAAUUGACCUGGCUCGACAAGUGCGGAUGCUUCAACUGGGGGCUGGGGUGGUUGUAGUGGUUGCACGUGCAACCACACCAUGCAAUUGACUCCCUCCCCUGAUUUCCCAUAGGGGUUCGGAACAAAUCCAGGCCUUCGAAUACAAAAUUUCAAAUGGGCUACUCAGAUCAAGCCGAUCUCUUAACAUAGAUCUGAGCUUUCAUUUGUGAUUUGCAGCCGGGAUCCGCAAAGAGUAGAUGCUGAUUUUAAAUGUUUUAGCUAGCGGACAAUGUCGGGCUUUGUGGACCUGUCAAGAGAGAAUAAAAUUGUCAACUGUAAAGUGCUUAGAAUUAACUUCUGCUACUUGAUUCAGAACUAUCUAUCUACAUA